UCUAGAGUCAAUUCCAAUGAA
rnacentral:piRNA from 1 species